UACGGAGGAUGCAAGCGUUAUCCGGAAUGAUUGGGCGUAAAGCGUCCGCAGGUGGCUGUGUAAGUCUGCUGUCAAAGAGCGAAGCUCAACUUCGUAAAGGCAGUGGAAACUGAAAGGCUAGAGAGCCGCAGGGGUAGAGGGAAUUCCCGGUGUAGCGGUGAAAUGCGUAGAGAUCGGGAAGAACAUCGGUGGCGAAAGCGCUCUACUGGACGGUAUCUGACACUGAGGGACGAAAGCUAGGGGAGCGAAUGGG
rnacentral:rRNA from 1 species